CUGAUUGGCUCGCGCAAAACACUCGGAAUUCGAAUUUGGCAAACCAAACGGAUACGCAAAAAAAGCGGUGAGAAACUUUUAAGUGACCAUUGCCAGGCAGAGUGAUGCCACCGACAGGGAGGGGAAUGGACAACAAAGGCCCCAAAAAAUUGGCACAAGAGGUUGAACAAACAUCUGCAUAUUGUGACAGUUCUCCAGCAAAAAA